UCGGGAAUUUUGGGCAAUGGGCGAAAGCCUGACCCAGCAACGCCGCGUGAAGGAUGAAGUUUUUCGGAAUGUAAACUUCACAAGAAUGGGAAGAAUAAGUGGGGGAUAAUACCCCCCAUGAUGACGGUACCAUUUGUAAGCUCCGGCUAACUCCGUGCCAGCAGCCGCGGUAAUACGGGGGGAGCAAGCGUUGUUCGGAUUUACUGGGCGUAAAGGGCGCGUAGGCGGCGCAACAAGUCACUUGUGAAAUCUCCGGGCUUAACUCGGAGCGGCCAAGUGAUACUGUCGUGCUUGAGUGGCGGAGGGGCAACUGGAAUUCUCGGUGUAGCGGUGAAAUGCGUAGAUAUCGAGAGGAACACCUGCGGCGAAGGCGGGUUGCUGGGCCGACACUGACGCUGAGGCGCGAAAGCCAGGGGAGCGAACGGG
rnacentral:rRNA from 1 species